rnacentral:rRNA from 1 species
UGAGGAAUAUUGGGCAAUGCCCGCAAGGGUGACCCAGCAACGCCGCGUGGAGGAUGAAUGUCGUAAGAUUGUAAACUCCUGUUAGAGGGGAAGAAUAGUACCGGUUGGACCGGUAUAUGACUGUACCCUCAGAGAAAGCCCCGGCUAACUACGUGCCAGCAGCCGCGGUAAUACGUAGGGGGCAAGCGUUGUCCGGAUUUACUGGGUGUAAAGGGCGCGCAGGCGGGAUAAAAAGCCAGUGGUGAAAUCCUACAGCUUAACUGUAGAACUGCCUUUGAUACUUUUAUUCUUGAGUUCGGGAGAGAGUGACGGAAUUCCAGGUGUAGUGGUGAAAUACGUAGAUAUCUGGAAGAACACCAGUUGCGAAGGCGGUCUCUUGGUCCGACACUGACGCUGAGGCGCGAAAGCGUGGGGAGCAAACA